rfam:Oryza sativa (indica cultivar-group) chromosome 8, whole genome shotgun sequence.
GCACUGAAAGUGAGAGUUGGAUGAAAACAAACUGACUGAUCAUCAGACAACUCCAACAGAUCACUGAUCAGCUUGUUUUCCUCCAAUAUCUCACCUUCAGCAA